rnacentral:rRNA from 1 species
AUUGAACGCUGGCGGCAUGCCUUACACAUGCAAGUCGAACGGCAGCGCGGGGCAACCUGGCGGCGAGUGGCGAACGGGUGAGUAAUAUAUCGGAACAUACCCUAGAGUGGGGAUAACGUAGCGAAAGUUACGCUAAUACCGCAUACGCACUAAGGUGGAAAGUGGGGGGAUCUUCGGACCUCAUGCUCAUGGAGUGCCGAUAUCUGAUUAGCUAGUUGGUGAGGUAAAGGCUCACCAAGGCGACGAUCAGUAGCUGGUUUGAGAGAACGACCAGCCUCACUGGAACUGAGACACGGUCCAGACUCCUACGGGAGGCAGCAGUGGGAAUUUGGACAAUGGGGGGCAACCCUGAUCCAGCAAUGCCGCGUGAGUGAGAAGGCCUUCGGGUUGUAA